GACGAACGCUGGCGGCGUGCCUAAUACAUGCAAGUAGAACGCACAGUUUAUACCGUAGCUUGCUACACCAUAGACUGUGAGUUGCGAACGGGUGAGUAACGCGUAGGUAACCUGCCUGGUAGCGGGGGAUAACUAUUGGAAACGAUAGCUAAUACCGCAUAAUAUUAAUUAUUGCAUGAUAAUUAAUUGAAAGGUGCAAUUGCAACACUACCAGAUGGACCUGCGUUGUAUUAGCUAGUAGGUGAGGUAACGGCUCACCUAGGCGACGAUACAUAGCCGACCUGAGAGGGUGAUCGGCCACGCUGGGACUGAGACACGGCCCAGACUCCUACGGGAGGCAGCAGUAGGGAAUCUUCGGCAAUGGACGGAAGGCUGACCGAGCAACGCCGCGUGAGUGAAGAAGGUUUUCGGAUCGUAAAGCUCUGUUGUAAGAGAAGAACGGGUGUGAGAGUGGAAAGUUCACACUGUGACGGUAUCUUACCAGAAAGGGACGGCUAACUACGUG
rnacentral:rRNA from 1 species